rnacentral:rRNA from 1 species
UACGGGGGGUGCGAGCGUUGUCCGGAAUCACUGGGCGUAAAGGGCGCGUAGGUGGUUUGAUAAGGGUGUGGUGAAAGCCCGGGGCUCAACCCCGGGUCUGCCGUGCCGACUGUCAAACUCGAGGGCUGUAGAGGCAGACGGAAUUCCGGGUGUAGCGGUGGAAUGCGUAGAGAUCCGGAAGAACACCAGUGGCGAAGGCGGCCCGCGUGGGCAGUGGCUGACGCUGAAGCGCGACAGCGUGGGGAGCAAACAGG